UACGAAGGGUGCUAGCGUUGCUCGGAAUCACUGGGCUUACAGAGUUCGUAGGCGGUCUGGUAAGUUAGGUGUGAAAUCCCUCGGCUCAACCGAGGAACUGCGCUUGAAACUACCAGACUCGAGGGGGAUAGAGGAAAGCGGAACUGAUGGUGGAGCGGUGAAAUGCGUUGAUAUCAUCAGGAACACCGGUGGCGAAGGCGGCUUUCUGGACGGUAACUGACGCUGAGACGCGAAAGCGUGGGUAGCAAACAGG
rnacentral:rRNA from 1 species